rnacentral:lncRNA from 10 species
CAGGCCCUUCCAGGUUCCCGUACUUUCUUAUGGAGCUGCUCAGUGACCGGCUUAGAGGACCGGGAAUGGGUAAUUGGAGGCUGGAGCCGCUCCACUGUGGUUCGCCUCGCUGCAACUGGUGGUGACCGCGACCGAGAUGGCAGUGCGGCGGGAGCGGCACCAACCCCUUCCUCAGGUCGGUGCACCACUGCGUGACCUCCAGGCAGCCACAGCCUGGAAAAGCACUCGGUUACCACCUUGCUCAACACCUGUGCCCAGAGCAUCCACAAGGCCUGCCUCUCGGCUGCUUAGCCAGGACUGCAGGGAUGGCCCGCAGCCUCAUCGGGGCCAAGGACGCAUGCCUCCUGUCAGACACUUCUAGGUGUUGGCAUCCAUGGAGAGCCUGGAGUUAGGAGAACACAGAGGACAUAGGAAACCCU